rnacentral:rRNA from 3 species
GAUUCGUCACACUAUCAUUAACUGAAUCCAUAGGUUAAUGAGGCGAACCGGGGGAACUGAAACAUCUAAGUACCCCGAGGAAAAGAAAUCAACCGAGAUUCCCCCAGUAGCGGCGAGCGAACGGGGAGGAGCCCAGAGCCUGAAUCAGCAUGUGUGUUAGUGGAAGCGUCUGGAAAGGCGCGCGAUACAGGGUGACAGCCCCGUACACAAAAGCGCAUGUGCUGUGAGCUCGAUGAGUAGGGCGGGACACGUGGUAUCCUGUCUGAAUAUGGGGGGACCAUCCUCCAAGGCUAAAUACUCCUGACUGACCGAUAGUGAACCAGUACCGUGAGGGAAAGGCGAAAAGAACCCCGGCGAGGGGAGUGAAAAAGAACCUGAAACCGUGUACGUACAAGCAGUGGGAGCACCCUUCGGGGUGUGACUGCGUACCUUUU